ACUCAAGUGGACGGGUGGGGAGCCUGCGGCUGGCCACCUCCGCACCCUCGGAGCGCUCCAGGGGGCCCCAACCCAAGCCCUGCACCUACUCUUGAAGGCGACGGCCGCGUUGUUGACCAGUACGUUGAGCCCCCCGUACUCCUUGCGCAGGAAGUCGCGCAGGGCGCGGAUGCUCUGCAAGUCGUCGAUGUCCAGUUGGUGGAAGCGCGGGCUCAGGCCCUCCGCCUGCAGCUGCUGCACGGCCGCCUGGCCCCGCGCCACGUCCCGCGCGGAAAACUAGACAAUCCACCAGCCCAGGAGGGGACAAGCAGGCUUAUUCCUCCUCCUCGUCAUCUCUGGCUCCAGCCCCACCCUGGCCCUUGCUGGCAUUCUUCCUCUUCACGUGGCUGGGGUUGGCCACCCCAAUAGGGAAGCAGAGGGAGAAGUCAAUGUGCUUCUGGGAAUCCAGGCGGACAGUGAAGAACAGGAUAUUUACCACCUGCUCACGGACACGGAUAUGACACUGUUGAAUCAGCACAUGAGCGUGGCGGAUGGACUUAGCCAAGCCAAGCUUGAAGACCUGGGUCUGUAGGAAUCUCUAAGAAAUCAUUGAUCUUCAGGCCCAGGAUGUAAUCCAGCUUCAUCUUGCCCUCAUCCAGCACCCCAGUGCGGACCAGCCACUGCAGCAGGGCAAUGCCUUCGAACAGACGCCGUGGGUCCUUCUCAUCAAGCGUCAGCAGCUCCCGGGCGGCCUUAUGGAUCUUGACCAGGGUAAAUUUGACCCUCCAGACCUCACAUUUGUUCUGGAGCCCAUACUCACCAAUCAGCUUUAGCUUUUGGUCGAGAUGAGGUUUCUCGAAGGGUCUCUGCAGGGUCACAUAAGUUUGGCAACAAACCCAGCUCUGGGCCGCUGGCAUGUUGGCUCCACUUGCCCGUCUAUGCCUAAGCACAGGCCCUGGUCACUGAGAAAGAGCUCAAAUUUUUUAUAUAUUUCAUCUAAGGUGUUGAUUCUAUUGAUACCCUUAUCCUUUUAACAUGCCCUUAUCCUUUUAAUGUUGGUAAUGAUGCUACCUGUCAUUUCUGAGACUGGUUUGUGUCUUUCGUGUUUUUUUCUGAUCUGUCUGGCUAGAGGUUUACCAAUUGAUUUGAUUUUCCUCAAACUUCUGGUUACAAUGAUUCUCUCUCUCUCUCUUUUCCUGAUUAUAUUAAUUUCUGUUCUGAUCUUUGUUUCCUUUCUUCUGCUUACUGGAUUUUAUUUGCUCUUUUUCUGGUUUCUUACUGUAAAGGCAGAAGUCAUUGAUUUGCAUUGAUUUGAGACUUCUUUUCUAAUGUAGGCAGUAAGUGGUGUAAAUUCCCUUUUAGUAUGACUUUAGUGGCAUCUCACAUUGAUAUGUUUUCAAUUUCAUUCAGUUUAUUUUUAUUUAUUUUUUAAAUUAUUUAUUUAUUUAUUUAUUUUGAGUUGUGUAGCCCUUUAUUAGCAACUAAAAUAGAAGGUAUCUGUUGUACAACAUGGGUAGUAAUUGACUAUAACUGGAGAUUUAUUAUAUUCUAAUACAGAUCAUUUAUAAAUGCAAUUUCUUUAUUAAAAAGCUUCCACCUUUUUGUUUGUUUGUGUACAAUUUGCAAAACUAUUCUGAAAGCGGAAUAUAUGUGCACAAGUCUGCAAAGAGUGCAAAUUUAGGAUAUGGUAAAUGCUUUACAAGUUACUUUCAAAAAACUGUCUGCCAUAACUGAGCCUUUACAUUGUCAUCUUUUUUGAUCAAAAUAUUUUGAUGCCAGCCUUCCUUCCACUGCCCUAAACUAUAAAGCAUUUUUUAAUGAGUUGAAAUUAAGGAAGGACUACACCUACUAGAAAAAAAGAGAAGAAAGUUCUAUUAGUUUGAGGUUUCAGAAUCCCCCCAAACCAGGACCAGUAUCGUGGUAAAGGCUAGGCUGGGAGCCCGGACAGAGUAUGAGAAUGUGCAGGUGGCAUCCCUGAGGAUUCAGAGCUUCAGUGGACCGUGAGUGCUCCAGCUGCAUAACUCACUGAACUGUCUUGCCAGUUUCUACACUGGCUCGACUGGGCAUAAUUCAAAAACGAAAAACUCAUAUUCAUUCCAUUCUUCUGGAGCUCUGUGAUAGCAUUUAAUAACACCCCAAUGGGAUGUCUUCCACAUAUAGUAUUAUGGUAUUUCUUCAAGUAAUUGCUAAAAGAUACAGGGUCUAAUUGUUCUAUAAUACUCAUACCCAUUUUAUCUAGAUGUUCAAUGGAUCUACAAAUCUCCCCCUGGGAUUCAUCAUAGUAACUGUGACGGAACCUUUGACCCCAAUGGCAGAAAUCAGAAGAAACCACAAAGAGAUUACUAGGAUCCGCUAGAUAUUUACUGAAAAGUUCCGAAUUCCUGUUCUUUUGACUCAGAGCUCCAACCAGUAAAGGAAUAAUGGUAAACUCAUCCUUAUGGCUUUCCAUGGCUUUAGCUGUAUAAGGCAAAUGCAUUUCAAUACUGCGUUCAUCUUCAUCUGUCUGCAGAGACAUGCGUUCAAACAUUCCUGUCUUCCAUAGUUCUCCGUAAAUCUUUUGGUCAAUACGAAGGUCAUACAGGGGUGUCCUAUAUAUAUCCACACUGGAAAGUGCACAUCGAGAGAGGGGCACAUGAUGAGAAGGCCCAAGGAUGAAAAUUCUCCGGGUAAUAGACGGAUCCACUUGUUUAUAAGCAUGGGCAGCACAAGACCCACAGUACGUAUAUCCUGCAUGGGGGGCAAUAAUGGCUCUAGCAGGUCUUUUUGUAGACUGUACUUGUGAAAGCCAACCUUCUAGCUGUGCAUUCAGCUGCGGUCCUGAGGCUGUGUACCAGCUCCCGGCGUGACUGGCUUCUCGGCAGACCACUCGGUUGGACAUCUUGGUGCCUGUGCCGCCUAUGGUGCACGAGGAUGAAUGAGGAGGCGGCGGCGGCGGCGGCAGGAGCGGCUCCGCGAGGGGACGAGACACCGCGGGCCCAGCCCAGGAGGAGGCGGCAGCGGGGAGGGGAUCAGCCCGGCCCAGGAGGAGGAGGAAGAGGAGGAGGCGGCGGCCCAGGAGGAGGAGAUGGCAGCCGGGGGGGUGGCGGCGGCAGCAACAAUCACCACAAACUCCGGCGACCGCCGGAAGAUGGGGCCCACGGCGGCCUCACCUAAGCCCGGAAAGCCCUGGCCCCGGCCCCCGGCGUCCCCGCUGCUGCCCAGCCGGGGCUGGUUCAGCCGAGCCGCCCCCACGGCCCCCUCCCCUCCCAGCUGGCCUCCCCGAGCCACCGCGAGUGACCCCACCCCCGUGACUCCGCGCCCGCCCCCGCCGCGGGGCUCCCCGCACCCACCCCCACCCCCACCCCUGGCAGGGCCCUCCAGCCCGGCCGCCUAUUUUUAUUUUUAUUCUUAUUUAUUUAUUUUUUGAGACAGAGUCUUGCUCUAUCACUGAGGCUGGAAUGUAGUGGUGCCAUCUCAGUUCACUGCAGCCUCCACCUCCUGGAUUUAAGCGAUUCUUGUGCCUCAGCCUCCUGAGUAACUGGGAUGCACCCGCCACCAAGCCCAGCUAAUUUUUGUAUUUUUAGUAGAGAUGGGGUUUCACCAUGUUGACCAGGCUGGUCUCGAAGUCCUGACCUCAAGCACUCUGCCUGCCUUGGCCUUCCAAAAUGCUGGGAUUACAGGCGUGAGCCACUGCCCCUGGCUAGAAGUGUAUUUUUUAAGUUUCCAACUUACUUGGGGAUUUUUCCGGCUAUCUUGCGAUUGAUUUCUAACUUAAAUCCAUUGUGGUCAAUGAACUCACAUUGCACAACUUAACUCCUUUUUAAAGAAUUUCAAAAGCCGAGAGAGAUAUUAAAGCAUGUUUUUAUGUAAUGACAAUAAUCUCAGAGAGAGAACAGUUGAAGAACAGGAAGAAUUGCAAGAACAAAAUGUGUGGGAAGACCAAGCACGGGUGGAUCCAGGAAUCAGGUGGGGGUGUGGAGGGGGAAACAGCACACCUCUUCUCUUGUAACAGAAGGAAAGGCAGAGUGUGUGGGUUUAGACCCAAGCAUGUUGGGGAAACUAAGGCCUUCCUGAGGGCAUCUGUUAUCUCUUUGGAGGGUGAGAGAUUUGAGGUCAUCAUUGAGAGGGAUUAGUUUGGGGAAAUUGAGGACAGUAGCCAUUUUGCAGAUUGGGAAAGUGAUUUUUUUUUCCUGUGGCUCAUACCUGUAAUCCCAGCAUUUUGGGAGGCCAAGGCAGGCAGAUCACUUGAAACCAGGAGUUCAAGACUAUCCUGGCUAACACGGUGAAACCCUAUCUCUACUAAAAAUACGAAAAAAUAACUGGCCGGGCAUGGUGGCGGUCGCCUGUAGUCCCAGCUACUCGGGAGGGCUGAGGCAGGAGAAUGGUGUGAACCUGGGAGGCAGAGCUUGCAGUGAGCUGAGAUCAGGCCACUGCAUUCCAGCCUGGGUGACAGAGACAGAGUGAGACUCUGUCUCAAAAACAAAAAAACAAAACAAAACAAAACAAAAAAAAACCAGGUGUGGUGGCGUCCAUCUGUAGUCUCAGCUACUCAGGAGGCUGAGGCAGGAGAAUUGCUUGAACCCAGGGGGUGGAGGUUGCAGUGAGCCAAGAUCACACCACAGCACUGGAGCCUGGCAAUAGAGUGAGACUUUGUCUCAAAAAAAAAAAAAAGAAAAAGAAAGAAAGAAAGAAAGAAAUGGCUCCGGUUAUUGCCGUCGACAGAAUAAUGCCCCUCCCCCAAGAGGUCUGCAUUAGAAUCUGCAGAGCCUGUGAAUUUGCUUUCCUUCACAAGAGGGACUUUGCAGAAGUGAUUACGGAUCUUGAUGUGGGGAGAUUAGCCUGGGUUACCAAGGUGGGUCCAGUGUAGACCCAAGGGUCUUUAUGAGAGGGAGGCAGAAGGGUCCAAGACGAAGAUGUGGUAGAAGCAGAGGUCAGGAGAGAUUUGGAGAUGGAGGAAGGGCAUGUGCCAAGGAACACAGACAGCCUCCAGAAGUUGACAGGACAGCAGAGGGGUUCCUCCCUCAGGGAUUCUGGAAGGAGCACGGCUCUGAUACCUUGACUUUAGGACUUCUAACCUCCAGAAUGAUAAGAUCAUAAACAUGUGUUAUCUCACGCCCCUCAGUUUGUGGUAAUUUGUUUUAGUGGCCAUAGAAAGGACUGCAGUUACAGGAAGAUUCCUACCUUCUGUCCUGGCUGAGAGGAAACACCUUUCUCUUGUACUUAGUACAGCAUUGCGCAAAUAAUUGGAAUUGUGAGCAGAUUUUUUAAGAAAAAGACUGGGCCGGGCUCAGUGGCUCGUGCCUGUAAUCCCAACAGGCUGAGGAGGGUGGAUCACAAGGUCAAGAGAUUGAGAACAAUCUGGCCAACAUGCUGAAACCUCAUCUCUACUACAAAUACAAAAAUCAGCUGGGUGUGGUGGUGCGUGCCUGUAGUCCCAGCUACUCAGGGAGGCUGAGGCAGAAGAAUUGCUUGAACUCGGGAGGCGGAGGUUGCAGUGAGCCGAGAUUGUGCCACUGCACUCCAGCCUGGCAAAAUACUGGUGGCCAGGCAUGGUGGCUCAUGCCUGUAAUUCUAGCACUUUGGGAGGCUGAGGUAGGUGGGUAGCUUGAGUCCAGCCUGGGCAACAUAGUGAAACCCUGUCUCUACCAAAAAUACAAAAAUUAGCUGGGUGUGGUGGUGUGUGCGGUAGUUCCAGCUGGGAGGAUUGGGUGAGCCCGGGAGGUGGAGGUUGUGGCGAGCCGAGAUGGCGCCAUUGCAUUCCAGCGUGGGCAACAAGAGCAAAACUCUGUCUCAAAAAAAAAAAAAAAAAAAAAGUUGUGGGUUCUGGUGGUUUACUGCUGUGAUUCUGUUUAGAUUGGCUUUGCUAUCACUUAAUGCCAUUGUCCCUUUGUGUUUACCAAAUCACUGGGUAAGAACCCAAACCUUUGCCAGUAACAUGGCAUUCUUCCAGGGUUCUUCUCCUUCCAAAGUCCUUUUGUGGUCUGAAGGACUGAAUGUCCACAGCCGUUCCCUCAUCUGCAUCCAGCGACUGUCUGAGCACCUGUUAGGUACCAGUCAUGCUCAGGAGUGAACAGAGGCCUGGGAAGGGCAGGAGUGGAGCUCCCUGCCUUCAUGGCUCCUUAUUGUAGCUCCUACUUACUCACUGUGUGAUCGUGGGCAAGGUUCCCAAUCUCUCAGUGUCUCAGUUUGCUCAUCUGUACAAUGGGAAUAGUUUUAGUGCCUAGCUCUUACGAUUGCUGUAAGGAGUACAGCAUGAAUGUUUAAUAUUAUAAAAGUGCUUAGAGCAGUACUGACAAACGGUAAUACAUAAAUGUUUGCUGUUCUUACAUUUUUUCAGCAAAGGCAGGCAGACACCAUCUAAAACCAUACAUUCAUGUCUUUACAGCCAUUGAUUGGUGUUCUCCUGGGUAACAGGCACAGUCAUGACUACCAUUAUUUGCUAGAGGCAGAUAAUGUGGGCAGAGGUGGGAGGUGAGGGGAACCUGUCUACAGCUUCGCCUUAAAGAAAGCGCUCUUGACUCCCAUCGCGUUCUAAGAAAGUCUGGGUUGCAGAAGGCAAGCUUGGGCAGGAAUGGGGCCCAUUGUUUUUCUGGAAGCAAGAUUAAGGUCAGGUUCUGAGUCAAAUGAAGAGGUCAGCAAACAGCUUGGUAACUCCCCACCUCCUCUUCUCUAUGCCUAGUUCUUCACUGCCUGCCCUUCCCAGGGGUGGGUCACAAAGUGGCUUAGGGUCAGGACAGUGAGGCUGUUGAGUGCCAUGGGGGGUGUCAGGGAGAAGACAAUUCCUACAAUGCCACCUCAUGUAGCUGAAACCUCGCCUUCCUCUCCUAAGUGUUCUGUGCCUGAGUGCUGGGGUCAGGAUUAUGCAUGGUCCCAACAGGGCUUGACCAGGCAGGACAAGCAGGUGUGUGAUUUGUAUGCUUGAGGUCACCAUGGUGGCUGUCCCUUUGCUACCCUGGAAUUGGUUUCUGGUCUCUAUAUUCAGAGUGACUCAGGGAAAAGCAUACUGCUUAUUGUAAACACUGCUGACUUGGAAGAAGAGAUUCUCCUUGCAAAUGUGGUAGGAACCAGUUUAAGUGUGAUGUCUGGAAGGCUGGGCUCUGUGCCUGAAAGGAAAUCUGCCACACCCUUGCUAAACUGGACAGAGAAGGGGCCAUGGCAGGCUGGUGAAGCACCUGUGCUGGGAAAUGUGGGUCCGAAGGCCCCAGUCCUCUCCUUGGGAGCUGGAUCAGGGUUUAUUUUAAAGCCCAUUCUUACCUCUUAGCUUGGCAAAGUAUUGCCAAGCCUGGGGAAAACCAGCCAUUCAUGUAUAUUUCUGGCGAGUGUAAUGUACCUCCUCUUUGGAGGGCAAUUUGGCUGUUGUCUAUUGAAAUUAAAAAUAUGCGUCUCUUCCUGGAAAGGGAAUUGUUGGGGGAAUUUAUCCUACAGAUACCCUCCCGUGUGUGUAAUGAUAGCCGGACCAGGAUGUUCUUUAAAAGUGGUUCUCAGCCAGUUUGUUACAAAGGUCAUGAAUUAUUCAGCAAGAUGAUAAUGGUUUUAUGUUUUUAAAAAUGAUAAAUUGUAGCCUGUUGAUCAUCGUUAAAAAUAUUUGAAUGCUAUUUGUAUGGCUUUCUCUGUGAACUUCAGUGAUUAUUUUGGACAGUUUGUGUUUGUAGAACUUGCUGCCAGACAGUGCCCCUUGUGGUUGAGUGGCUGCACUACAUGGCAUAUGUAUCAGUUUCCUGCGGUCACCAUAACUAAACACCAAAUACAGGUGCAGAGCUUCAUUCUCUCAUAGUUCUGGAAGCCAGAAGUCCGAGAUCAAAAUGUUGUCAGGACCAUGCUCUCUCUCCAAGCGCUGGGAAAGAAUCCUUCCCUGCCUCUUCCACUUGCUGGUGGUUGCUAGCAAUCUUUGGCAUUCCUUGUCUUGGGGCAGCAUCACACCAAUGUCUGCCUCUGUCUUCAUAUGGCUGCUGUCUCUGCUGAGCAUCUGUGUAUGUCUUCUCCUCUCCUGUUCCUUUUUUUUUUAAUUUUUUUUCCUGAGACAGUCUCACUCUGUCGCCUAGGCUGGAGUGCAGUGGCAUGAUCUUGGCUCACUGCAACCUCCGUCUCCUGUGUUCAAGCGAUUCUCAAGCCUCAGCCUCCCGAGUAGCCAGGAUUACAGGCGCCUGCCACUACACCUAGCUAAUUUGUGUAUUUUUAGUAGAGACACGGUUUCACCAUGUUGGCCAGGCUGGUCUCGAACUCCUGACCUCAAGUGAUCCACCCGCCUCAGCCUCCCAAAGUGCUGGGAUUACAGGCAUAAGCCACCAUGCCUGACCCUUCUCCUCUUCUUAUAAGGACAUUAGUCUUCCAGCAUAAUCUCAUCUUAACUAAUUACAUCUGUAAAGACCCUAUUACCAAAAGGGCACAUUCUGAGAUGGCAGGUGGACAUGAAUUUUGAGGGGACACUGCAGAACUAACCCACUAUAGAAUCUUUCUUUAAUGUUUCUAUUGAUCCCUUUCAACUGGUCUAAUAUAUUAUUUAGCCUGAAUUUUUUUUUUCUUUUUUGAGACAGUGUCUUGCUCUGUUGCCCAGGAUGGAAUGCAGUGGCAUGAUAAUGGCUCACUGCAGCCUUGACCUCCCAGGCUCAAGCGAUCCUUUGUAGCUGAGACUACAGGUCUGUGCCACCAUGCCUGGACAAUUUUUUAUUUUUAUAUAUGUUUUUAAGAGGUGGGGUCUUGCUAUGUUGCCCAAGGUGGUCUUGAACUCCUGGGCUAGAGCAAUCCUCCUACCUUGGCCUCCUAAAGUCCUGGAAUUACAGGCAUGAGCCCUUGCAUCUGGAUAGCCUGACUUGUUUAUCAUAAAUUCUUUUUUGAGAUGGAGUCUUGCUCUGUUGCCCAGGCUGGAGUACAGUGGCACGAUCUCAGCUCACUGCAACCUCUGCUUCCUGAAUUGCAGAAGAAUUCUGCAAUUCUCCUGUCUUAGCCUCCUGAGUAGCUAAGAUUACAAGUGUGCACCACCACACCUGGCUAAUUUUUGUAUAUAUAUAUGUUUUUUAGUAGAGAUGGGAUUUCGCCAUGUUGGCCAGGCUGGUCUCAAACUCCUGAUCUCAGAUGAUCCUCCCACCCCGGCCUCCUAAAGUGCUGGAAUUACAGGCAUGAGCCACCGUGCCCGGCCUAUCAUAAAUUCUUGCCUGCAUGUCUUAGUCCAUUUGUGCUGCUAUAACAAAAUACAUGAGACUGGGUAAUUUAUAAACAAUAGAAAUUUACUUCUUGUGGUUCUGGAGACUAGAAAGUCCAAGGUCAAGGUUCUAGGAAGUCUAGUGAGGGCCUGGUCUGUGCUUCCAAGAUGAUGCCUUGUUGUUUUGCCCUCCAGAGGGGAUGGACGCUUUGUCUUCACAUGGUGGAAGGGCAAAAAGGAGGGAAGCAGCUCCCUUAUAUAUCUUUUAUAAGGUCAUUAAUCCCAUUUGUGAGGACAGAGCCCUCAUGACCCAAUCACCUCCCCAAAAGCUCCACUUUCUAAUACCAUCAUCUUGGUGAUUAGGUUUCAACAUAUAAAUUUUGGGAGGACACAUAAUUCAAACUAUAGAAGCAUAUAUAAAGCUUAGUUUCCUUUUGGUACAGUUUGCUCUUAUAUUUAUUUUUCUACCAUCAUAGGAGUUUGCUAUGGUUUGAAUGCUUCUCCCCUCUGAAACUCAUGAUGAAACUUAAUCCCAAAUGUAACAAUAUUGACAGGUGGAGCCUGUACGAGGUGAUUGGGUCAUUAGUGCUCUGUCCUCACCAAAGGAUUAAUAUAUCAUGGAUUAAUGGGUUAAUGGAUUAAUGGGUUAUCAUGGGAAUGGGUUAGUUAUUUUAAAACUGAGUCUGUUAUAAAAGCCACUUGGCAUUCUCUUGUGUACUCCUUGCCAUGUGACCCUGUACCACCUUGGAACUCUGCAGAGAGUCCCCACUAGCAAGAAGGCCCUCACCAGAUGCAGCUCCUUGACCUUGAACUUCCAGCCUCCAGACCGUAAGAAAUGAAUGUAUUUUCUUUACAAUUUACCCAGUCUCAGGCAUUCAGUUAUAGCAACAGAAAAGGGACUAAGAUAGCCAUCUUUAUUGUUUUUGUUAUCUGGUAUUGCGUGUCUCUAAAGAGAAUAUAACUGGAUUGUUAACUAUUUCCUACCCUCCUUU
rnacentral:lncRNA from 1 species